UACGUAGGGUGCAAGCGUUAAUCGGAAUUACUGGGCGUAAAGCGUGCGCAGGCGGUUGUGCAAGACCGAUGUGAAAUCCCCGGACUUAACCUGGGAAUGGCAUUGGUGACUGCACGGCUAGAGUGUGUCAGAGGGGGGUAGAAUUCCACGUGUAGCAGUGAAAUGCGUAGAGAUGUGGAGGAACACCGAUGGCGAAGGCAGCCCCCCUGGGCUGAGAUUGACGCUCAGGCACGAAAGCGUGGGGAGCAAACAGG
rnacentral:rRNA from 1 species